rnacentral:rRNA from 1 species
UAGGGAAUCUUCCGCAAUGGACGAAAGUCUGACGGAGCAACGCCGCGUGAGUGAUGAAGGUUUUCGGAUCGUAAAACUCUGUUAUUAGGGAAGAACAAAUGCGUAAGUAACUGUGCGCAUCUUGACGGUACCUAAUCAGAAAGCCACGGCUAACUACGUGCCAGCAGCCGCGGUAAUACGUAGGUGGCAAGAGUUAUCCGGAAUUAUUGGGCGUAAAGCGCGCGUAGGCGGUUUCUUAAGUCUGAUGUGAAAGCCCACGGCUCAACCGUGGAGGGUCAUUGGAAACUGGGAAACUUGAGUACAGAAGAGGAAAGUGGAAUUCCAUGUGUAGCGGUGAAAUGCGCAGAGAUAUGGAGGAACACCAGUGGCGAAGGCGACUUUCUGGUCUGUAACUGACGCUGAUGUGCGAAAGCGUGGGGAUCAAACA